UCUAUGAUGUCCUGUUGUUUUGUUGUUCUUGGAGCGUGGAUUGACAGCAUGAUUCUAUGGAGAUGAUGGUUGCUUUAAGGUUUCUUUGGAUCUUCAAGUAUGAAUAGUGCUAUAUAGUUCGAGACCUCUCCGUCUUGCUAUCUGGAAUGGUCGUUGUCUCUAAUGACCAAUGGAGUAUGAUUGGCAAGCUGCGCUGUGGGGGUGUGAGGAACCUGAGCUUGCCAGGUCAUGUUUAUUGG
rnacentral:misc_RNA from 1 species